GGGGAUUAGUGGCGAACGGGUGAGUAACACGUGAGUAACCUGCCCUUGACUCUGGGAUAAGCCUGGGAAACUGGGUCUAAUACCGGAUAUGACUCCUCAUCGCAUGGUGGGGGGUGGAAAGCUUUUGUGGUUUUGGAUGGACUCGCGGCCUAUCAGCUUGUUGGUGAGGUAAUGGCUCACCAAGGCGACGACGGGUAGCCGGCCUGAGAGGGUGACCGGCCACACUGGGACUGAGACACGGCCCAGACUCCUACGGGAGGCAGCAGUGGGGAAUAUUGCACAAUGGGCGCAAGCCUGAUGCAGCGACGCCGCGUGAGGGAUGACGGCCUUCGGGUUGUAAACCUCUUUCAGUAGGGAAGAAGCGAAAGUGACGGUACCUGCAGAAGAAGCGCCGGCUAACUACGUGCCAGCAGCCGCGGUAAUACGUAGGGCGCAAGCGUUAUCCGGAAUUAUUGGGCGUAAAGAGCUCGUAGGCGGUUUGUCGCGUCUGCCGUGAAAGUCCGGGGCUCAACUCCGGAUCUGCGGUGGGUACGGGCAGGCUAGAGUGAUGUAGGGGAGACUGGAAUUCCUGGUGUAGCGGUGAAAUGCGCAGAUAUCAGGAGGAACACCGAUGGCGAAGGCAGGUCUCUGGGCAUUAACUGACGCUGAGGAGCGAAAGCAUGGGGAGCGAACAGGAUUAGAUACCCUGGUAGUCCAUGCCGUAAACGUUGGGCACUAGGUGUGGGGGACAUUCCACGUUUUCCGCGCCGUAGCUAACGCAUUAAGUGCCCCGCCUGGGGAGUACGGCCGCAAGGCUAAAA
rnacentral:rRNA from 1 species